GAUACAUAGGGUCAGUCAAAUACAUUAUUAAAAUCAAUUCUAUUUCUUUCUUACUUUUUAAUCUGUCUACUAGGAAAUUUAAAAUAGAGCUUGCAAUAUUUUUCUGUGAGGGCUUAUGAAUUUGGAUUCUAUCUUUAUGCUCCGUCCCGCCAGCCUACCAGAAAUUCAGUUAAUUGCUCAGCAGUCAUAACUGCCUAACAGAUUCUGGAUUUUAAAAUGAGCUGGAGCAGAAGAAGGCUGCAUGGGUAUCACAGAUAUAGAUUUUUUUGAGGCUUUAUUUAGUAUGCACAUCUGAUCGAUUUUCUUAGUUAUAAAUAUAAAAUUAAACAUGAGGAGAGCAUUUAGAAAACUAUUCAUGUUUCUCUAUUAUAGCGUCUUAGUCUUUAAAAAUGACCACGGAGCAACUGGACACACAUUGCAGAUGGAUUAAACAAAUAACAUUGCUCAGUUCCUGGCAUAAUGAAGACAAUCAACAAAUUACUGUUGAAGCACCAUCAAAUAGCAUGAGAAGUGUGCUCCUUCAGAACUGCCCAUGGACCUCAGGGACCCUUCCCUUGUUAUCACUGGAAAAUGACAGAAAAAGAAUGGGAUGGCCAACCCAAUCAAGAGAGGCUGCCAGGAAUUUGAUUUUAAAGACUGAGAAGACUGAAUCAGUUUCAAACGGAGAGGAAAAUGCCACGGUGUCUUAACAGUGUCCGCUGUGGUCCCAGGACAGGGACAAUGAGUGAAAAUAUACCUUCAAUACAUCAUUCAGCAGUACACAUAGAAGAUAUAAGACAUCUGGAGAACGGACGUCAGCGAGCCAGGAUGGUAGAACAAAUUCAAAUCCAUGCCACGGGAAAACGAACAUUUGCGAUCUCAAGACGGGUAGUCAGAAAACUGAAAAAUAACUUCAAACUUUGGGAAACAGCCUAGACUGCACCACAUGGCCUCAGAGGGUUGGGAGAGGCCGGCAAGUGGAGAUUUGAUGAGACAGCCUUUCUUUUAUUGGAAGACAGAAUGCCCUAAUAGACUUGUUUUAUACACAGAAAGAACUGCCUGGGGAAGCAAUCAAUCAGCUUCCUGCUCCAACUAGAGUCCAAACCUUUCCAAAUGAGACAUCCAGUGAUAUACAGACCAGAAAAAUGGCCUGGCUUUCUUAAGGUCUCAAAGCUGGUGCACAGCAGAGCAAAAAGGAAUACGGAGGGACCCACAGUGAAAAGCUAUUCAUUUCUGUCUUGUUUUCUCUCCAGCAGCUCCCUCCACACCCACGGCAACCCUGCCCUCUCCUGGAGACUAGAUCAGGCCACGGGACAGACCGUUAUCCAAAAGAGCACUGGCUGGACAAAUAGGGGGCUGUUGAUUCAAAGCAUCAAAGAAAGAGUAAAAUAAAAGCAUCUGGAGCUACCUAAAUUAAAAGAUAGAAAUAUUAAAACACAUGAAGACCAGGGACAAUAACAAGGCACAGCACCGCCAGAAUUGCUCUUCUAGUCACUGUCGCUUCCUGAGCAAAGUUACCAGAACUUACCAGGAGUUCUCACUGUUGUUCUAAGAAUAUUUCCAAGAAGAGUGAGACCCCUUCAAAAAUAUGUGCGUUCCAAAUAUAAAUGCAUAAAUGCCUGUGCUUUUCUCUGAGAAUACACCACUGAAUGGCUGUUCCACGCCUGUACCUUGUUGCCCAACCUGAAAGUAAUGACUCAGAUACAGCAGACAUUUUAUAUGUUAGUUACACCGUUAUGUUAAAAUUGCACUACAGGAAUUUCAAAUUUGUGUAUCAGAAACUACACUAUGAAGCUGUAGAGUGGCUCCGAUGUGGUUUUACUUUUCAUCUGAGGAAUCUGUUGUUACAAACAUAAAAGAAGUAUCGCAGAGCCAAGUGACUUCACAGUGAAAGGUGCUUGUUUGCUCACCUUUUGCUAUUUCUCAUUUUCACCGAUUCCGCGUUAAUCAUAGCUGUGCUGUUCAGAAAACUCCUUUGGGUAAACAAGGAUAAAGUCACAGAAUAAAAGAAUAAAAAUAUCAAAUACUCUUUACUUCUGUCUCUCAGAUAAUACUGCCAUACAGAGAUUCAUCGUUGGGGGCUUUACACCCUCCAGGAGAAGGCAAAAUCGACCACACUGCUGGUGAUGAGGGCCACUGCCAUGUUAAAACCACAUCUAGGAACAUUUGGCUGAAGAGCCCAUUUCCUUGAUGUGGGUCAGAGGUUAGUGCCUUGAUCUGAGUCUCACUGCUCUUCCCUUUAAAUUGAGAUAGCAAGAGGGC
ensembl:lincRNA